AACCCAUAAUGAGGGCAUCACCUGAGGAGAUCCUUGAACCUGUCAUGCACUUUAAAUAGUGUUUUGGACUCUCCUUGCUUAAAUCCUGAGAUUUCCUAUCUGAUCUU